ACGCUCGACACCUACGGGGGCAGCAGUGGGGAAUAUUGCACAAUGGGGGAAACCCUGAUGCAGCGAUGCCGCGUGAAGGAAGAAGUAUCUCGGUAUGUAAACUUCUAUCAGCAGGGAAGAAAAUGACGGUACCUGACUAAGAAGCCCCGGCUAACUACGUGUCAGCAGCGCGGUAAUCUGAGCGGGCUGGCAAGGC
rnacentral:rRNA from 1 species